rnacentral:rRNA from 1 species
GUCCACGCCCUAAACGAUGUCAACUGGUUGUUGGACGGCUUGCUGUUCAGUAACGAAGCUAACGCGUGAAGUUGACCGCCUGGGGAGUACGGCCGCAAGGUUGAAACUCAAAGGAAUUGACGGGGGACCCACACAAGCGGUGGAUGAUGUGGUUUAAUUCGAUGCAACGCGAAAACCUUAACCUACCCUUGACAUGUCUGGAAGUUUCUAGAGAUAGAUUCGUGCUCGAAAGAGAACCAGAACACAGGUGCUGCAUGGCCGUCGU